AUACGGAGGGUGCGAGCGUUGUUCGGAAUUACUGGGCGUAAAGCGCGCGCAGGCGGAUGUGCAAGUCGAAGGUGAAAUCCCGGGGCUCAACCCCGGGACUGCUCUCGAUACUGCAUGUCUAGGGACCGGUAGAGGUCGGUGGAAUUCCCGGUGUAGCGGUGGAAUGCGUAGAUAUUGGGAGGAACACCUGUGGCGAAGGCGGCCGACUGGGCCGGAUCCGACGCUGAGGCGCGAAAGCGUGGGGAGCAAACAGGAUUAGAUACCCUGGUAGUCCACGCCGUAAACGAUGGGUGCUAGAUGCUGGGGGGAGCGACCCCUUCGGUGUCGUAGCUAACGCAUUAAGCACCCCGCCUGGGGAGUACGGCCGCGAGGCUGAA
rnacentral:rRNA from 1 species